rnacentral:rRNA from 1 species
GAUGAACGCUGGCGGCGCGCCUAACACAUGCAAGUCGAACGAUUAAAGCACCUUCGGGUGUGUAUAAAGUGGCGAACGGCUGAGUAACACGUGGGCAACCUGCCCCUUUCAUUGGGAUAGCCACGGGAAACCGUGGAUAAUACCGAAUACUUCGAGACUUCCGCAUGGAAGACUCGAGAAAGCUCCGGCGGAGAGGGAUGGGCCCGCGGCCUGUUAGCUUGUUGGUGGGGUAACGGCCUACCAAGGCAAUGAUGGGUAGCUGGGUUGGGAGACCGACCAGCCAGAUUGGGACUGAGACACGGCCCAGACUCCUACGGGAGGCAGCAGUGGGGAAUCUUGCACAAUGGGCGAAAGCCUGAUGCAGCGACGCCGCGUGCGGGAUGAAGGCCUUCGGGUUGUAAACCGCUUUCAGCAGGGACGAGGCGAAAGUGACGGUACCUGCAGAAGAAGCCCCGGCUAACUACGUG